CCAUACAUCAUAAAUUUCUUUUCUCGGAGAAGAAGCAAUGACAGUAUUUGGAGAAUAAGUAUUGACUAACUCUGUGCUAAUAGCUGCGGUAAGACAGAGGAUGCAAGCGUUAUCCGAAAUGAUAGGGCAUAAAACUUCUGUAGGUGGCUUUUUAAGUCUGCCGUAAAAUCCCAGGGCUCAACCCUGGACAAGUGGUGGAAACUACCAAGCUGGAGUAUGGUAGAGGCAAAGAGAAUUUUAGGUGGAACAGUGAAAUGUGUAGAGAUCAAAAAGAACACCAACGGCGAAAGCACUUUGUUGGGCCAACAUUGACAUUGAGAGAUGAAAGCCAGGGAAGCGAAUGGGAUUAGAUACCCCAGUGUCCUAGCCAUAAAUUAUGGAUACUAGGUGUUGUGCGUAUCGACCCGUGCAGUGCUGUAGCUAAUGCGUUAAAUAUCUCGCCUGGGGAGUACGUUCGCAAUAAUGAAGCUCAAAGGAAUUGACGGGUGCCUGCACAAGCAGUGGAGCAUGUUGUUCAAUUCGAUGCAAAGCGAAAAACCUUACCAGGGCUUGACAUGCCGCGAAUCCUCUUGAAAGAGAGGGGUGCCUUUGAGAACGCGGACACAGGUGGUGCAUGGUUGUUGUCAACUCGUGCUAUAAGGUGUUGGGUUAAGUCUAGCACAGUUAAUGAUAUCAUCCCAAGUAUUAAUUACACAACCUUGACUAUCAAUUAUGGAUUGGUUGAAACUGAAACCAUUUAGGUUGAAAGCCAUAGUGCUGAUACCUAAAGCAGUGAACCAGAUACCUACUACAGGCAUCUUGAAAGUGAAUCCUAUU
rnacentral:lncRNA from 1 species